CACCCCUCAAGCGCAGCUUGGUAUUGGGCUCUCGCCCCCGCGGCGUGCCCGAAAAGCAGUGGCGGUCCGGUGUGACUUUAAGCGUAGUAAAUUUCUCCCGCUUUGAAAGCUUGCCCCGUGGCCUGCCAGAUAACC
rnacentral:misc_RNA from 1 species